rnacentral:lncRNA from 1 species
CCUCUCUCAGGUGUGUUUUCUAGUGUAGGUUUAAUGUAAAUGUAGGUUUAAUGUACUGUAAUUGUGUAAUGUAAAUGUAGGUUUAAUGUAAUGUAAUGUAAAUGUAAAUGUAGGUUUAAUGUAGGUUUAAUGUAACUGUAAUUGUGGCUCCCUAGGGUUAAAUGAGUUGUUGGUUGAAUAGUAUGAUCUAACGGGUGAAAAUGAUCAAAGGGUAAAUUUCACGGCCGAAAAUAUAGAAUUCAGACUACGCGGGGAAUUU